rnacentral:rRNA from 1 species
UAAAAAAUAGGUCUCAGUUCAGAUUGCAGGCUGCAACCCGCCUGCAUGAAGUCGGAAUUGCUAGCAAUCGCGGAUCAGCAUGCCGCGGUGAAUACGUUCCCGGGCCUUGUACACACCGCCCGUCACACCAUGGGAGCCGGUAAUACCCGAAGUCAGUAGUCCAACCUCGUGAGGACGCUGCCGAAGGUAGGAUUGGCGACUGGGGUGAAGUCGUAACAAGGUAUC